rnacentral:rRNA from 1 species
AAAUUGAAGAGUUUGAUCAUGGCUCAGAUUGAACGCUGGCGGCAGGCCUAACACAUGCAAGUCGAGCGGCAGCGGGAAAGUAGCUUUCUACUUUUGCCGGCGAGCGGCGGACGGGUGAGUAAUGCCUGGGGAUCUGCCCAGUCGAGGGGGAUAACAGUUGGAAACGACUGCUAAUACCGCAUACGCCCUACGGGGGAAAGGAGGGGACCUUCGGGCCUUUCGCGAUUGGAUGAACCCAGGUGGGAUUAGCUAGUUGGUGGGGUAAUGGCUCACCAAGGCGACGAUCCCUAGCUGGUCUGAGAGGAUGAUCAGCCACACUGGAACUGAGAC